CAGCAGAGACAGGCAGAGGCAGGCGGCCAGCGUGGGAUACUGCUGGGGGCUGCGUUAAGGGGAGAAGGGGAGAUUCUGUCUCAGAAGCCUCGGGCUGCGCGUUCUUCUGGGCUGCUCAUUGCUAGCCCAGAGCAGGCCCCUGCCGGCCCCUCUUGAGUUGGGCCACUGCUUCUGCAGGCCCAGCAGGCCCCUGGGGGCGGCCGGAGGCCACUAACUGGCUUCUCUAGUUCAGCAUUCUUCCCUCAUUUGCUGUGUACCCCACUCUCUUCUCUACCCCUUUGAACCAUCUUUACCCUCAUUCGUCAGGGAACAUUUAACGAGUUGAAUGUUUAACGUGUACUCACUCUAUAUGGAAAUCAUAAUUCAAUUUUGUAAACAUCAGACUUUGACAAAACAAACGAUGAUUUUCUUAAGGAAAGCAGAGAGAGUGUGAAAUCACUGCUCUCAGAUCGGCACACGGGAAAGGCCAGCAGUCAGGAGGGGGCUCACCGAGUUUGUCUGCGCUCACUCCCUCCCCGGCUGCCCUCUCCAGCUGGCAGAAGUCGUAAUCGAACCUGCUCAGGUCCUCACUGCCCCGCUCUGAAGGAAACCCCACGUACAGGUGAGGUCGGAGGAGUGAAGUGACUUGCCCAAGACCACACAGCGAGUCAGGAGCAGGCCUGUCCCUCCAGCAGCGGUGCCAUGUUGUCCCCGGGCUGUGGUGGCAGAGGAGCCGGUGUGAACGCCCCAUCCUGCCACGUCUGUGAUGUGGGCACCUCACAUGACUGUCCCCUCACAGCCCUUGGGGGGGACCUAGGACAUUCUGUGAGCCCACAGGAAAGUUUACCAAAUGCUGCAGCUUUGUCCUGGUGGUGAUGGGCACCCCGUUAACGGCAACCUUGCAUUUGCUGUGUGGAGUGACCGUCGCUUUACCGUCGGCAUUUGUGAAGGAAGCGUGUUUAUCUGAAAUUCUAAGAAGACCAGAGUCAGUCUAAGACACCCAGCAAAUGGCGGUUUUCGUGAGCAGGUAGGCUUAUCUUUCUCAUUUGCACAGGAGGGAAGAUCUACAGCUGAGGAGGAUGGCAGGUGGCCUCUCGGGCCUCCUGUGCACUGUGGCCCAUGAUGUAUGGGGACAGCAGCGGGCGCAGGAGGACCCUGCCCUUGGGGAGCACGAGGAGCUGGGAGACAGCAGGCAAGGGCAUUAACAGAACGAACACCAGCUGAGGGCCUAGCGCUGUGGGGAGCCGGCCAAGGCCACACUGGAGUCCUCCCGCUCCCAGACCAGUGGGAUGGGGUGGUGGGAAAAUGGCAGCAAGCAAGCUUCAGGAGAGACACUCAGGAGGCGACUCUUAACGAGCCUCACCUACUCCAGGUACGUUUCGAUCUGUUUCUGCGCCCUCGCGCAGACCUUAUAAGAUUUGGGGCUGGACGUCAGGGGUAUCAGGUUGGCGUCCCUCCUCCCCGCCCCGCUCCCCUGCACCGGAUGUCAUCUGUGUGUCCUGAAUGACUGGCUCCUGCCUUAGCAUGUUCCGUGUUCCUGCACUCUUUGGCCAUUGCAGAAUGUUCUGGAUGUGGAGACUCGUGUGCAUCCAAACCCUUUUCUGCAUGGGGCCCAGGGAUCCUGUGGGAAAGGUUGCGGCCUCAUCACUGGAGUUCAGACAUUUAUGCACCUGUGCGUUGGACUAAGGACAUGUUCUGGAAAGGGACUUGAGGGGGAUCUCCAGGAAGAUGUCCCAAGAAGGAGGCUGGCAGUGCAGGACGAGGCGGGGCCAGCCGGCCCCUGGGUCAGCACCCCUGCCACCACGAUGGCCCGUGGGCUUUCAUAUGGGGGCGGGGGGUGAUCUGUCUGAAGGACGUAGGUGAUGGUGCUUCCCAGCUGGAGAGCUGGAAGCAGGAGGAGGACCCUCCAGCAGCGGCCUCCCAGGCAGGGCAGCCACAGAGCUGGGGACAGCUCUUGACUGCGUGAGGCCCGGCAUGGGUUUCCCAGGGCUCCUGCAGGGGCCUCCUGAGGGAGCCCUCGGGGUCACUCCCCAGUCUGGGCUUUCUGUAGUCCAGUGGGUCAGGGCUCCAAACACCAGGAGAGAUCCAGGGAUGCACUUAUGUUUGGGCCACCCCCGGUGGGCUUGUUCGUUCAGCCCCCUUUCGUUUUCUGGCCAGCUCUACUUACAUCUGUUUGUGAAGAAUUAUUACACAGAAUCUAGAAACCAGCUUUCCCUUUUCUCCCAGGGUUGGAGCCCAGGAAGCAAACCAGCACUGCACCCUGGAUUUCAGCCAGAGGACGAACGCCCUGCCCUCAGCUUUCUCAGACCAGCCCUGGAGUAAGUGGCCCGGGGAGACCUGGGCAGUGUCCCUGCUUGUCCUGCAGACUGUGUGGCUCUGUAGAUCCCUAGAUGGAGGAGUCACAAUUCUCUAAUGCUGGACGAGGACACUGAUUCAUGGAAGCUCACCCCAAACCUUGAAUCGUGAUAGCAUUUGAGGCAGCCUGACCAGCGUCACAUGAACCUGAAAAGAAUCAAGAUAUGAUUUAUUUUAAAAAUAAAUCAGACACUUUCAGAA
rnacentral:sRNA from 1 species